rnacentral:lncRNA from 1 species
GUGGACUCUGAUCCUUCUGAGGUCUUGGACUGCACUGAGCAACCUGGGGAUGCCCCGGAGCCUUUAACUCGUUACCACCCCUCACAAGUUCACCUCACCACACGCGACUAUGUGAAGCCCCAAGCUGAGGCUGCCAGCAGCUGUAAGCAAUAUGGUCUGCGUCGUUGCUCAUGGCAGGAACUUUGAGCUGGGACACAGUUUCACUCCGUAGAUGUAUUUCUCCUCUGAGGGAAGCCUAACACCCGAGCUGACCUUGCCCCCUUCUGAAAGGGAGGACCAUAUCUCACAGUGGCAACAGGAGGCUACAGGUCAGUGGGGUGAUGACCGGGCCCUCAGAGACCCUGCUCUCUCUCUUUACAAAACCCCAUAAAUCCUUCCAAAGGGAGUAAUUCCCUCAGGAUCAAGAGAGUCCUCCACAUUCCUAAAAUCAGUGAAGGCAAAAUGUACAGGGAUUUCUGAGAAAAGUAAAUGUGGUGUGAGCAUGAUCCCUGGGUGUUACUGUGCUGCAGAGAAGGCCCCCCCCUUCCCCCCCUGAAUGGUGUUCUUUGCUCUCAAGUUAACUCACGCACUGGACUUGGUCCAAGUACAUUUUGUUUCUUGAUUUCUAGCCAGGCUUCUCUCAGUUGUGGUGCAUUCUCCUCUUUGCUCCCCUCCCUCCCCCGCCCCCUUCUCUCUUUUUAUAAUUAUUUCAGCUUUUCCAUGUGACUGAACUGAUACAGAGGAAAACCCACCAGCUUAGGUAGGGCUUCCACCAGAGUGGGGCCAGAGGGACUCUGUGAACGGCCGGCCCCUCACUCAGCAAUGGCCUGCAUGGCAAGGUAUGUCUAAGAGCAGCUGAAGCAGAAAGCGUUUGAACUCUGCCCCUGCCAAAUGACUUCCAGAUGUGUAAACUCCAGCCUCCCUCUGCUCUCUGACUGUAGCCCUGCCAACAUACAUCUGCAGAUUUCUGGUGCACAGGAAACAUGAAAGAGUAUCUUCUACAACAUCUGUUCUCUUUCCCCAGCUCCCCACUCUGUCUUCUCGGACUUUGCCCUAUAUUUCAUCUCCUCCUAAACAAAGUCAUUAAGGAAUCACAGCACAACUCGCCUUGGCCCAUAGAUGCCAUCUCCCCCCUUCUCCCCCCUUCUCCCCCCAGAGCCUGUUCUUGGCUCUCUGGACGUUUGGCCAAAGCAACACAAGAAUCAUUAAAGACACGUAUUGACUUGCUGCAGGAGACAAGAACCAAGUUUUCUCUCCUGGGCAGGUGCCACUCCAUAAGCUGCAAAGGGAGAUUUUGGCCACAAGGAGGACCGAGCAGAGACCUGAAGAUGAAAACACGGGUCUCCAUGAAGAGUGUGCCCGCUUACACACCCUUGGGAGAAGGGAGAAGCAAGUCCUGAAGGAUCUUAGUGGGUGAAGGAAGAGAAGGUGAGCUUAGUGGGCCACCCUUCACAUGCAACUCAACACUGCCUGAACUUACAAGGCUGUAAGUAAAGACUUUGUUACUCACUGAUGGCUAAGAAAGGACUUAGGAGGCCCUGAGAAACAUCAACUGAAGUUGUAUAG